rnacentral:rRNA from 1 species
UACAGAGGAGCCAAGCGUUGUCCGGAUUGACUGGGCGUAAAGAGCGCGCAGGCGGUCGUUCAAGUCGAGUGUGAAAGCCCCCGGCUCAACUGGGGAGGGUCACUUGAUACUGAUCGACUCGAAGGCAGGAGAGGGAAGCGGAAUUCCCGGUGUAGUGGUGAAAUGCGUAGAUAUCGGGAGGAACACCAGUGGCGAAGGCGGCUUCCUGGCCUGUUCUUGACGCUGAGGCGCGAAAGCUAGGGGAGCAAACGGG